CGCUGGCGGCGUGCCUAACACAUGCAAGUCGAACGGGACCAGGGGCAACUCUGGUUCAGUGGCGGACGGGUGCGUAACACGCGAGGAACAUGACCUUCGGCGGGGGAUAGCCGGCCCAACGGCCGGGUAAUACCGCGUACGACCACAUGGGGACAUCCCUGAGUGGUGAAAGCAGCAAUGCGCCGAUGGAGUGCCUCGCGGCCUAUCAGCUAGUUGGUGAGGUAACGGCUCACCAAGGCGACGACGGGUAGCUGGUCUGAGAGGAUGGCCAGCCACAUUGGGACUGAGACACGGCCCAGACUCCUACGGGAGGCAGCAGUGGGGAAUAUUGCGCAAUGGACGAAAGUCUGACGCAGCGACGCCGCGUGUGGGAUGACGGUCUUCGGAUUGUAAACCACUGUCGGGAGGGACGAAUACGCCGCAAGGCGGGUGACGGUACCUCCAAAGGAAGCACCGGCUAACUCCGUGCCAGCAGCCGCGGUAAUACGGAGGGUGCGAGCGUUGUCCGGAAUCACUGGGCGUAAAGGGCGCGUAGGCGGCCUGAUAAGUAGGGGGUGAAAUCCUGCGGCUUAACCGCAGGGCUGCCUUCUAAACUGUCGGGCUCGAGCUCAGUAGAGGCAGGCGGAAUUCCCGGUGUAGCGGUGGAAUGCGUAGAGAUCGGGAAGAACAUCAGUGGCGAAGGCGGCCUGCUGGGCUGAUACUGACGCUGAUGCGCGAAAG
rnacentral:rRNA from 1 species